AAUCACCUGUUGUCAGUCUUGAUGAGGACUACCAAGAACGUGGAGCAGACUCCUCUCACGUGUGCCUGGGGGAGGAUGGGAGGCAGCAGAUCCCAUCCCCAUCAGCAAAAUUCCAACCAAUAUUAAGAAGUUACUUAAUGAUGAGAGCAGUUAAACCAGAGGAGGCCAGAGAGAUGGUGGUAUCUCCAUCCAUGGAGCACCCAGCACAGAAGGGACACUGGCUGUGUGCUGCCUUCAUGUUCUCAGCCUGCUCCUCACUGAUCUGACAACUACAAGUGGUGGUACAAAAACAGCAGGGCCCUGUGGUUGUCUUGAAGUCUCCUCCAGCCUUAAAUGAUGUUGGGCAUUACUCAGACCUUGUGGCAGCUGUUGAAUUUGACUCACCUCUUCCACCCCACUCUCCAAAACAGAUGUGGUUGUAAAUUACAGCCAGAUUAGAAGCAUCAGUGAAGACCAUAAGAAUGCAAGAGCAAGUAACAGGUUGUAAAUUCUGUUGGGUUGUGACUUAUGUAAACAGUUUUCAUGUGGCUCUGACCUUCAGCACAGCACAGUCCUGAGUGUGUGUGCAGCAUGGACAGAGGAGGAAUCUGCUCUGCUGCAGUUCUUUGACAAUCCAAGGUGAAGGAAGGAUGAAGGAGCAAGUGCCCACAGAUCCCACAGAGCUUCCCAGGAGUUUGCUGACCAUUGCUGUGAGAUGCAUCACAGCCAUGCUCACCUCGUCCCUGGAUGUUCAUGGGAGAUGCUGAAGUCAAUCAGGUCACAACCGCAGAUGCAAGAAUUCAAAUCUCAGCCCCCAGAUGGGCCAGGUUGAUCCUGCAGGACUGCUGGGAUAAUCAUCCUGACACUGCAGAUAACAGGAUUGUGAUCAUAAAUCUUAAGAUUCAAGUACAUUCACCAUGGUUGAGUGACCAUCAGUAUUUUGAGGGAAUGAGAAUAUUUUUCCCCCGAAAAGAUGAUGGCAUGAAGAGCACAUAUGCAGAAAGUGAAUUCUCAGAAAUACAGAACAAUGCAUCAUUUUUAUUUCAAUUUGCCAUGCACUCCUUAUCAUUUCACCCACAUUCUGCCCACUAAUCAAGGGGAAGAGGCUUGGCUGGUGCAAGUGGUUCUGGAUAGAUCUAUUUGUGGCUGUUGCUAUUGCAGCAACAGCAAAAGUGUGUUUUUUAUAGAAGAAUCUAGGCUCUGUCACAGAAUGUAAGUGACUUAUUCUGUGAACAAUUAUUUUUACCUACAGAGUGAAAGAACCUUUACCCCAGGCUGGUGUUGUGUGGGGCUGUUCCAGUUGUGCACAUGUAAGUCAUGAAGGGAAAUACACUUUUCAUUAUUUGGCCCUGCUUGGUACAAUUCUGCCUUUUCUGCAUGGAAGAGGAGAAAUCAGGUAUUUAAUCAAUAUUAGUAUUACAGAACUAUGGAGCUGGGUUUUUUUUUUUGCCUUUUAAAGGUAGUUUGUCUUCUGCAAGCAAAAAUUAGAAAAAGAGUACAAAAUAGCACUGAGUUGUUUACCAAUAUAAAACACUCAGCUGAUGAGAUGCACUAAUCCACAGCCAAACCUGGGUAAAGGCCCAGCUGACUCCUAUUUAAGCCACCACCUUACUCCACAGCUUUUCUAUGUCAAAACCCUGACAGUACCUACAAUUUGAGCCAAUUCCCCAGUUAACCACAGCCCUGCAUAUCCAUGGUGAUCAAACAAAUGUUCACCUUCCAAAAUGUGAGGAAUGUGACAUUAAUAAAGGCAUGUUGCUCCCUGCUAGGCAAUGCCUGAUCCUCCACAUUGUAUCACUUGCAAACUGGCAGCAUCACAGGGCAGGGGUGUUAACUGGAAUACUGCUGUGAGAAGGGGAUGUCUGGAUUUACUUUCUUCCCCAAGGACCUUUCCAGCAGCCAGCAUCUUCUCCAUUGCACAUAAUUCUCUUUUACUAGAAACACCUGGUAGGUCUUGUAAUUCCUGUCCUCAUGUUGCAGAGUGCUCUCCCCUCUCACAUCACUGUCCUCAGGCCACACAAGACAUCCUCUUUAAAAGAGCUAAGAACCAGAAAAGGUGGAAGCAGAUAGCUCCCCAAAAACCAGAGCAAGGCUAUAAGCUGUACUACAGCAUCAGCCAACAGGGGUCUAACAAAAAGUCACCCUUUGCUUCCAUUUCCCCUGGACUGCAGGCUGCUGGUAAAGCAAACAGACCUCUACAAACAAAGCACUGCUGCUGCACAGGAUGCCCAAGUUUUUCUGGAAAAGGUUGGUUAAGUCAAUGAGUUAACAAUUUGUUCCAAUUAGAAGAACAGUGAGCUGGAGUACAGCAAGAGCUUCUUACCUUCCUGUCUGCAAUUGCAAAGCUCAUGCACCA